rnacentral:rRNA from 1 species
CCAGCAGCUGCGGUAAUUCCAGCUCCAAUAGCGUAUAUUAAAGUUGUUGCAGUUAAAAAGCUCGUAGUUGAUUCUCUGAGCUCUCCGACGGGGUCCCUUUGGGGCACCGUGGGUGGGUUCCUCCUUGGCGAAAGCCCGUCCUCCGCGAGGAGGCGCGGUCGCUUCGUCAUCGUUUACUGUGAACAAAUUAGAGUGUUUCAAACAGGCUGAGGCUUGAAUACAUUAGCAUGGAAUAAUAAGAUAGGACCACGGUGCUAUUUUGUUGGUUGCGCACUGAGGUAAUGAUUAAUAGGGAUAGUUGGGGGUAUUCAUAUUUAACUGUCAGAGGUGAAAUUCUUGGAUUCGUUAAAGAUGAACUACUGCGAAAGCAUUUACCAAGGAUGUUUUCAUUGAUCAAGAACGAAAGU